rnacentral:tRNA from 1 species
AUUUAAAUAGCUUAAUAAGAGUAUAAUAUUGAAGAUAUUAGGGUGAUUUUACAAUCUUUAGAUA